GACGAACGCUGGCGGCGUGCUUAACACAUGCAAGUCGAACGGAAAGGCCCUUUUUUUGUUGGGUGCUCGAGUGGCGAAUGGGUGAGUAACACGUGAGUAACCUUCCCUUGACUUUUGGAUAACUUCAGGAAACUGUGGUUAAUACCGGAUAUGAGCUCCUGCUGCAUGGUGUUGGUUGGAUAGUUUCGUGGGUUGGGGAUGGACUCGCGGCUUAUCAGCUUGUUGGUGGGUUAUUGGCUUACCAAGGCUUUGACGGGUAGCCGGCCUGAGAGGGUGACCGGCAAAAUUGGGACUGAGAUAGGGCCAGAACUCCUAGGGGAGGAAGAAGGGGGGAAUAUUGAAAAAUGGGCGGAAGCCGGAUGAAGAAAGGCGGGGGGCGGGAUGACGGCCUUCGGGUUGUAACCGGCUUUAGCAGGUGAGGAAGCGUGAGUGACGGUAAUGGGUAAAGAAGCACCGGCUAACUACGUG
rnacentral:rRNA from 1 species